CUUCCACCUUUCGCCGUGGGACGGCACCUCUCGAAGGCCUUCCCUUGAUGUGAGACCCUCGGUCUUGGACUUCCCAACCUCCAGAACUGUGUUGAGCUAAGAGAAACCAGUAACAACAGACAAUCAGAAACUACCCGCAAAUGGAUGGAUCUAUCAGGAAACCCUUCAUCAGGCUACAGCCCUGACAGCAACUCAGAUGGCAUCACUCACAACCCAGCAAGGAAAUGGACGGAGAGGAAACCUCUGCAGAGAAGGGUUUUUGGGUCGAUCUUGCCUUCCACCUUCUCCAGGCCAGUGGGCCUGGUGCUCUGGCACUAGGAUCCCACUAAGGAAGACCUUCUCCCCAAUCUGUGAAUUGAAACACUUCUCCCAAGUGGAAAAUAAGGAGGCUUCAGAGACUCUUGGCAUAAAAAGGAAGGAGCCCAUCCACCAGGCCUGCUGGUGUCACUGACUUGGGAGGAUGAACAGCCCUUAAUCAAAACCUUGCUCCAGGGAGAAAAGCAGGAAAAUACCAUUACUGGCCUAAUUGCAGAGAUUUCACUUGGAAAAAAUUGAUCUGGGUCAGCAGGAGCUGUUUCUGCCUCGUCUUCAAGUCUUGUUUCCUGCACAUAGACACUAUAAUUAUAGGCGAAUUCAGCUGAGUUGAUGUAACAAGCAAGUAGAUGCCACAAAACUGGCAAGAUAAAAGGAAAACCAAGAAAAUUGAGGAUGACUACUUUGUAUUCGACUUUUCCUAAGACUGGGAACUUCAGAAAUCUGCAAACUAAAAGUAUAAGCUACCUAAACUUAAGUAAAAGAAGCAAAAGGGGAUGGAAAUGUAUAUUCUCAUGGAUACAUAAAAAUGACACUGUUUUCUGGUUUAAACUUUAAAAAGUUUGUGCA